CACGUAGGGCGCAAGCGUUGUCCGGAAUUAUUGGGCGUAAAGAGCUCGUAGGUGGUUUGUUACGUCUGCUGUGAAAUCCUAGGGCUUAACCCUGGGCUUGCAGUGGAUACGGGCAGACUAGAGGUAGGUAGGGGAGAUGGAAAUUCCUGGUGUAGCGGUGAAAUGCGCAGAUAUCAGGAGGAACACCGGUGGCGAAGGCGGGUCUCUGG
rnacentral:rRNA from 1 species